rnacentral:misc_RNA from 1 species
UAGACGUUAAAUUUCUAUGCAUAACCACAAAAUGAUAGCCACAAGAUUGUGAAGUUCCCUUCACCAAUACAGUUCUUGCUACAGAGAAAUUUCUUACAGAGCUAUAUCUAAGAAACUGCCAACAACAGAGGCAGCCAAACGGCCCGACUCAACAAAAGCAGUAAUUUCUAAAAAACAAGAAUAGAACUUUAAUAGAAUCCAUAGAAAAUCCAAACAGCUAGAAAGCCAAAACAAGCUAGAAACAGUACCGCAUUGCGGCUUCCAUUGCCUUCAGCCUCCAUAUGCGGCCACAG